ensembl:ncRNA F59D12.13 ncRNA
CCUUUGUUGGUGAGGCGAGUGAGCCAUUUGUGGGGCAGAACGCAAAUUGGCUCCUCUCUGAUUGUGGCGGGGAGGUCCCACGCUAAAUCCGAAAGC